rnacentral:rRNA from 1 species
UACGUAGGGCGCGAGCGUUGUCCGGAAUUAUUGGGCGUAAAGAGCUCGUAGGCGGCCUGUUGCGUCCGCUGUGAAAUCCCGGGGCUCAACCCCGGGCCUGCAGUGGAUACGGGCUGGCUAGAGGCAGGCAGGGGAGAACGGAAUUCCUGGUGUAGCGGUGAAAUGCGCAGAUAUCAGGAGGAACACCGGUGGCGAAGGCGGUUCUCUGGGCCUGUACUGACGCUGAGGAGCGAAAGCGUGGGGAGCGAACAGG